rnacentral:rRNA from 1 species
CCGUGUUGAGUCAAAUUAAGCCGCAGGUUCCACCCCUGGUGGUGCCCUUCCGUCAAUUUCUUUAAGUUUCAGCCUUGCGACCAUACUCCCCCUGGAGCCCAAGCACUUUGAUUUCUCGAAAGGUGCCGAACGCGUCAAGAAAUAACAUCGUCCGAUCCCUAGUCGGCAUAGUUUAUAGUUAAGACUACGACGGUAUCUGAUCGUCUUCGAUCCCCUAACUUUCGUUCCUUAUCAAUGAAAACAUCCUUGGCAAAUGCUUUCGCAGUAGUUAGUCUUCAAUAGAUCCAAGAAUUUCACCUCUGACAAUUGAAUACUGAUGCCCCCGACUGUCCCUAUUAAUCAUUACGGCGGUCCUAGAAACCAACAAAAUAGAACCACACG